rnacentral:rRNA from 1 species
GACGAACGCUGGCGGCGUGCUUAACACAUGCAAGUCGAACGGAGCGAAUGAAAGCUUGCUUUUAUAAGCUUAGUGGCAAACGGGUGAGUAACACGUAGGCAACCUGCCGACAGGAUGGGGACAACAUUCCGAAAGGAAUGCUAAUACCGAAUGAAGCGCAGGAGAGGCAUCUCUCCUGCGUGAAAGAUGGCCUCUAUAUAUAAGCUAUCACCUGUCGAUGGGCCUGCGUCUGAUUAGCUGGUAGGUGAGGUAACGGCUCACCUAGGCGACGAUCAGUAGCCGGUCUGAGAGGAUGAACGGCCACAUUGGGACUGAGACACGGCCCAGACUCCUACGGGAGGCAGCAGUGGGGAAUCUUCCGCAAUGGGCGCAAGCCUGACGGAGCAACGCCGCGUGAGUGAAGAAGGUCUUCGGAUCGUAAAGCUCUGUUGAUGGGGACG